CCUACGGGAGGCAGCAGUGAGGAAUAUUGGUCAAUGGGCGCGAGCCUGAACCAGCCAAGUCGCGUGAGGGAAGACGGUCCUAUGGAUUGUAAACCUCUUUUGUCGGGGAGCAAAAGACGCCACGCGUGGCGUUCCGAGAGUACCCGAAGAAAAAGCAUCGGUUAACUCCGUGCCAGCAGCCGCGGUACUACGGAGGAUGCGAGCGUAAUCCGGAUUUAUUGGGGUUAAAGGGUGCGCAGGCGGAAGAUCAAGUCAGCGGGAAAAUUGAGAGGUUCAACCUCUUCGAGCCGUUGAAACUGGUUGUCUUGAGUGAGCGAGAGGUAUGCGGAAUGCGUGGUGUAGCGGUGAAAUGCAUAGAUAUCACGCAGAACUCCGAUUGCGAAGGCAGCAUACCGGCGCUCAACUGACGCUCAUGCACGAAAGUGUGGGUAUCGAACAGGAUUAGAUACCCUAGUAGUC
rnacentral:rRNA from 1 species